AUGGCUCAGGAUGAACGCUAGCGGCAGGCUUAACACAUGCAAGUCGAGGGGCAUCGGGAGUAGCAAUACUGCCGGCGACCGGCGCAAGGGUGCGUAACGCGUGAGCAACAUGCCCGUAUCAGGGGGGAUAAUCCAUGGAAACGUGGUCUAAUACCCCAUAGUAAUUAUGUAAGGCAUCUUAUAGUAAUUUAAAGCUUUGGUGGAUACGGAUUGGCUCGCGUGACAUUAGCUGGAUGGUAAGGUAACGGCUUACCAUGGCUACGAUGUCUAGGGGUUCUGAGAGGAAGGUCCCCCACACUGGAACUGAGACACGGUCCAGACUCCUACGGGAGGCAGCAGUGAGGAAUAUUGGACAAUGGAUGGAAAUCUGAUCCAGCCAUGCCGCGUGCCAGGAAGACGGCCCUAUGGGUUGUAAACUGCUUUUGUAUGGGAGCAAUAAGGGCUACGUGUAGUCCGAUGAGAGUACCAUACGAAUAAGCACCGGCUAACUCCGUGCCAGCCGCCGC
rnacentral:rRNA from 1 species